UGGCAAUCCACACGGACAACCCGUAUCUUAUCUUUGCAAGUUCUUUCUUCCAUUAGCGCUCUCCAUGCACGCUUCGCUCUAGAUCCGAAUUCAGAGACCAUUGGGAUGCCUAAGGUCUCAUCUUCCGCCUGAAUUUUCAGUGUCAAGCAAUUGGAGGUCAGCCAUGUAGCAUAUGAAGAUAAUAGUCCCCUUCCACUAUCUCUCUUAAUCAUGGCAAUGUCCCUAUUUGCAGAGGUUUGUGUUGCAGGUGGGUCUUCUGACUCCAUUCAGUUGUCGAUUUGUUGUGGUGGAAUAGAAUCCAAACCAGGUCACUAUUAAAAUUUAAUAAUAUUUGCUUGUCUGUGCAUGGCAAUUCACAAGAGUUGCCUUGAAAUUUUUACUUUGGUAUAACUUCGAUGUGUUGAUAAAUGGAGUAAAUUUACUUCCUUUUAGGAGUUCUGUCUUGCAUUGGCGUUUGGCUGUAAAAUUUCUGUUUCAGUGAUUAACAUAGGCAACCCAGCGACGAUCAUCCUCGCUUCAAGAGUUGAAAAUAUCGAAGAGAGCAAGAGAACGUGCCAAACGACGGCUUGAGGUAAAGCUACCUGGUCAAAGUCAAAGUUCAAACUGUUGAUUUCUUGGUGGCCCGGGAGCCUCAUCCACACUGCAUGGUGAAAGAUUUUUUUGAAUUCUGCAACUUUAUUCCAUAACCCUGAUACAAGAUGUUCGUUUUACUUUUGAUUGCACAUGUUUUUUCUAUAAUUAGUUUGGACAUGUCGUUAUCAAAAGUUCAAGGCUUGUGAUUAUAAUUGCUCCUUUUAUCUCUAAGGAUUUACCAGACCACCGAGUUAAAAGAAAAAACAGAGAAAUUGCACUUUAGCUCUCUUAUCUAUGAGUGGUAAGUCAUCUGCUAAAUAUCCCCGGCAUGUAUGGAGUCUCCGUCUCCAAAAGAGGUUCCACUCUGAAUCUGAAGAAGAUUCUCACGACAAGGUAACGAAUUUUACUACAAAACUUCCAUGUGAGCUUGGAGCUACUUUUUCAUAGAAGAAGACAUCUGUGUGUGCGCUUGCUGAGCAAAGGACGCGCGUUUCUUUCUUCCUCUGGGUAUACGUGUAUUAGAUUAGCACAAAUUGGCUCUCGUGGCAAAAGAUAAUCUUUUUCUCAGGUGUGGGGGCAUCGGAAUGCAUAUUUAUUCUGCAAACAUUGAAUUUUUUUCUUUGCCAAUGAACUUUGAUCUUCGGGUUUUCCCUUGAUAUUAUCUCCAUAUUUUUGCUUGCUUACUCGAUUUUUCUCCCUUUUUCCUUUGUCAGUGAAUCUCAAUCCACGGGCUUGGAUUAGCUCAAACGCACUGCGUCUUAACGAUAUUCUCCAUCAAGUGUAGCUCAAUGUAGAGUGAAAAACAGAAGACCAAUUACAUACUUCAUCAUCCCCUUAGUGCCAUCUUUCUCCCAAGCAUACUUACGUAAAGCAGGGAACCAAGAGACCCGGCACCGUAGCUGAAUAAUAAGCAGAAUGCAAGCGCAGAGAUGUGCGUAGCAAGGUUUGCAAGCAAGUCAGCAUUAUCAAAAUGUGAUCCCUUUAACAUGCUUAAGCGUGACACAGAAGCCUUUUCGUCGGAGCUUUUGGAGCAGUUUAUGAUCACUCAUAAUCCCCGCUACUAAGUAUGAUUCCAUGCAGAAAGUCAUUGACAACAGAAGUCGCGUAGACCGAGUUUGCCUAUAAUUCUACGAAGACAAAAAAGUAGAUGCUGGUGAGAUCGUGAGCUGGAACACGCUUUGUUACGUGUUAAAGAUUCCUGUUAAGGUUAAGAAAAAAGUUUGUUUAGCUAUUCCUCUCGUUUUAUAUGUAAUUAAAUUUUUUUUUUGAAAAUAUAGACAAUCAAAAUCCUUUUUGCAGCUCGCACUAGGAAGACUAUAUGUUUAAGUAAAAUGGGGUAAAUCAUUCCACAUUUUGCAACCGGUGAGCUGUGUUCUUUUCCAUAUUUUCUAAUGUUUUGUCGAA